rnacentral:rRNA from 1 species
UACAGAGGGUGCAAGCGUUGUUCGGAAUUAUUGGGCGUAAAGCGCGUAUCGGCGGCUUUGCAAGUCGGGUGUGGAAGCCCUCAGCUCAACUGAGGAAGUGCGCCCGAAACUGCAGAGCUUGAGUGCCGGAGAGGGUGGCGGAAUUCCCCAAGUAGAGGUGAAAUUCGUAGAUAUGGGGAGGAACACCGGUGGCGAAGGCGGCCACCUGGACGGCAAAUCACGCUGAUACGCGAAAGCGUGGGGAGCAAACAGG